UGCAGUCGACGGAGUCGUUCGAAAUGGAAUGAAGAUUUAUCUGAUUGAAGUUUUGUAACAAUGGCUUUAGUGGCGGACUGGUGAGUAACACGUAAGCAAUCUACCUAUUAGAGGGGAAUAACAAUGAGAAAUCAUUGCUAAUACCGCAUAAGCUUGUAGUACCGCAUGGUACAGCAAGAAAAGGAGCAAUCCGCUAAUAGAUGAGCUUGCGGCUGAUUAGCUAGUUGGUGUGGUAACGGCAUACCAAGGCAACGAUCAGUAGCCGGGCUGAGAGGCUCUUCGGCCACAUUGGGACUGAGAUACGGCCCAGACUCCUACGGGAGGCAGCAGUCGGGAAUUUUGCGCAAUGGAGGAAACUCUGACGCAGUGACGCCGCGUAUAGGAAGAAGGUUUUCGGAUUGUAAACUAUUUUAGUCAGGGAAGAAAAAUGACAGUACCUGAAGAAUAAGCUCCGGCUAACUACGUGCCAGCAGCCGCGGUAAUACGUAGGGAGCAAGCGUUAUCCGGAUUUAUUGGGUGUAAAGGGUGCGUAGACGGGAAGACAAGUUGGUUGUGAAAGCCCUCGGCUCAACUGAGGAACUGCAACCAAAACUAUCAUUCUUGAGUGCGGGAGAGGAAAGUGGAAUUCCUAGUGUAGCGGUGAA
rnacentral:rRNA from 1 species